rnacentral:lncRNA from 1 species
UUCCAGAUUUGGAUCUUCAUCAUCAUGUAAGCGGCAAUCCAAAUUAUUCAAUUAAUUUGGAUGAUGUUGACGUUCUCGAAGCGGAACACGAUCAGGAAGAAGAGGCUGAAUUAAACAUUCCUGAUGCGAGAGGAAAACGAAAGGGAAAAAAACAAGCAAAAUGUUGGGAUCACUUUAAAUUGAUUUCAACGGGAAAAAUCAUCAAUGGAGUCCAAGAAUCCAAAACAGUAUGUAAAUACUG